CCUACGGGUGGCAGCAGUGGGGAAUAUUGCACAAUGGGCGCAAGCCUGAUGCAGCCAUGCCGCGUGUGUGAAGAAGGCCUUCGGGUUGUAAAGCACUUUCAGCGGGGAGGAAGGCGUUAAGGUUAAUAACCUUGGCGAUUGACGUUACCCGCAGAAGAAGCACCGCCUAACUCCGUGCCAGCAGCCGCGGUAAUACGGAGGGUGCAAGCGUUAAUCGGAAUUACUGGGCAUAAAGCGCACGCAGGCGGUCUGUCAAGUCGGAUGUGAAAUCCCCGGGCUCAACCUGGGAACUGCAUUCGAAACUGGCAGGCUAGAGUCUUGUAGAGGGGGGUAGAAUUCCAGGUGUAGCGGUGAAAUGCGUAGAGAUCUGGAGGAAUACCGGUGGCGAAGGCGGCCCCCUGGACAAAGACUGACGCUCAGGUGCGAAAGCGUGGGGAGCAAACAGGAUUAGAUACCCCGGUAGUC
rnacentral:rRNA from 1 species